rnacentral:rRNA from 1 species
ACAGCUGUUCGCCAUUUAAAGUGGUACGCGAGCUGGGUUUAGAACGUCGUGAGACAGUUCGGUCCCUAUCUGCCGUGGGCGCUGGAGAACUGAGGGGGGCUGCUCCUAGUACGAGAGGACCGGAGUGGACGCAUCACUGGUGUUCGGGUUGUCAUGCCAAUGGCACUGCCCGGUAGCUAAAUGCGGAAGAGAUAAGUGCUGAAAGCAUCUAAGCACGAAACUUGCCCCGAGAUGAGUUCUCCCUGACUCCUUGAGAGUCCUGAAGGAACGUUGAAGACGACGACGUUGAUAGGCCGGGUGUGUAAGCGCAGCGAUGCGUUGAGCUAACCGGUACUAAUGAACCGUGAGGCUUAACCUUACAA